CCGUAAAUAGAUCCGCGCCUUCAUCCCGUCCUUCUCCUCUUCUUUCUCUCGCCUCCGCUCCCGCGACGUCUUCGUGAUGCUCUCCGCCAGAUGCUGCGCCGGGAUUUCGUUUCCUCUACACCUGUUACGGUAUCCGCACUCGCGUUUGUUUCCUCAACCUACGUCGUCCAACUUCAUCAUUUGUUCCUUUCUCGUAUGCAACUUCUCGCGUGUCGUCUCCAGUGCCGUGUUUCUUGCCCCUUGCACUCCGCGUCCGUAUUGCCAUUCCUGUUCAAACCCUUGUCACUCCGUGUUGUGCAGCCUCCGCGGUGUCACGAAUUUCCUUAUUUUCUUGUGCCAUAUCAUGCCCUUUAACCUUUCACGUGCCUUUCACGAGAGGCUCUCUAAGGGGAAGGAAACGGCAAAAAAACUCGCUGCAAAAGCUCAGUUACCUCGAGAAAAUGAAACAACCAACAAUACUACAUCGAGUGGCAAGAAGCCGAGAGGACGUGGGCUUUUGCGCUCAUUGCUCUGCUGCUUCGGAAGGGGUCGAGGUGGCAGUUCAAAGAGCUCCAAGGCUAGUUCUUUGCAAGGUGAUGGUCGUGGCUCACCACCACCUGGUACCGGAUCUCCAAGGUUUCUCCUACCACCAGUCAGGCACCAAGACAUGCACAAAAAGUGCAUGGUAAUUGACUUGGAUGAAACUUUGGUGCAUAGUUCUUUCAAACCAAUCAACAAUGCGGACUUUGUUGUUCCUGUAGAAAUUGAUGGAACAGUACAUCAAGUGUACGUCUUAAAGAGGCCUUAUGUAGACGAGUUUUUGCAAAGAAUGGGUGAAUUAUAUGAAUGUGUACUGUUCACUGCGAGCUUGGCUAAGUAUGCAGACCCAGUGGCGGAUCUAUUAGAUCGAUGGGGUGUAUUUAGAGCGAGGUUAUUCAGAGAAUCUUGUGUGUUCCACAGAGGAAACUAUGUUAAGGAUUUGAACAAAUUAGGUCGGGAUUUGCAGCAAAUCAUUAUUGUAGAUAAUAGUCCUGCCAGUUACAUUUUCCAUCCAGAUAACGCGGUUCCAGUGGCAUCUUGGUUUGAUGACAUGACGGACUCCGAGCUUCUGGAUCUAAUCCCUUUUUUCGAAAAGCUCAGCAAUGUAGAUAACAUCUACACGGUGCUGUGUAAUAGCAAUCAUCCUUACAAUCAGAUACCUGCGCACGCGGUGCAGAGCAAUCAAAGCCUGCCGACUUCAAUUUCAAUGGCUGCUUCCUAGCCCCACCUGAAUCCUGGCAAUGCAGCCAGUCUUGUCGCUCAAUGCACCUUCCGAAGGAUUCUAAGGGGACUGCUCCAUGUGACCCACUCGCUAUGUGGCGAAGGAUCCCGAAGUGCUCCUCGUUGAUCUUUGGAAAAAUCACUUCGAUUCAGCAGAGUCAAAUGUCUUAUAUCCUGAAAGCGCGUCAUUUAAGUCGACACACACAGUUAUAGCUGCUGAUAUCUCUCUUCCUGGUGAGCAACGCAAUGAAGACUGAAUCAGCUUCGAAGCGCGAGUGUUCUUCCAUUUUGCACCAAGUGUCGAAAGCGAUGAACUAUAUCGACCUUGUCCGCAUUGGACUGAAAAUAUGUCUGUACUCGAUAAAAGAACCUAGUGAAGGAUAAAACCAGGAAUCUCCAUCGAGCGGAAAUUGUUUAGAGAAAGAUUGAUCGAUCGCGAGAGAAAAGAGAGCGAUGGUUAGGGUGACUGUCGGUGAUUGUAUACUGUAAAAUGUAUACUAAAAAAUGUAAAGUUAUAAGAAAGGAAAAGUAUGAAGAGAGGAAAAGAAGAGAGAUUGCUUCGAGUCGUUUGAUGGGCCAUGCUGUUGUUGCUGUAUAGUUUUUCAAUUUGAGCCGAGACACAAAUUCUGUUCACUUAGAUUUGAUUGCACAGAAGUCAUCAAUGCUCCGAUUACGUUUAUGAGUGCUUCUGACCCAACUUACAGAUAUGUUGAAAAAAGGAGGGUAACAGUAGCAGGUAGCAAUUUAAAGUAUAUUUUUUAUUGUUAUAAGUUCAAGAUGGGGAAAAUUUUAUUUUAACUAUUUUAAUUUAAAAUAAUACUAUAAAAAGAUCAGAGAUAUUUUAAAAUUUAGUAUUAAAUUACUAUAACUUUUAAAAUGUGUGGAUACAAAGAUCGAAUAUCAAUACAAAUCUAGAAUAAAUAUCUAGAAAUUAAAAAUCUAGAUAAGAAUUUAGAAAUUUGUUAAAGUAAAAUAUUUGAUAUGUUACUUUAACUGUUUGAGAAUCUUCGAAAAAUUGAAUGUGCAAAUUUAAUCUUACUAUAGCCCAAAAACUUUUAAAUUUGGAGAAUAUUUCAGGACUAAGAGAUUUUCAAGUUUAUAAGAAUAUAUUGUCAACUACUCGUUUACAUUAUCGAGGAAUAGAAAUAACAAUUUUCUGCGUAUUUUAUUGAAUAAACUUUCAUCUUUAUACUUAUGAAUAUAGUGUUAUGUAAAUCGCUUGCUAAACAUAACAAAAGAUACUUUUUAAAUCUUUUAUUUCAGAAAUCGGUAUCUUAACCCCUUGACUGGCAUUGACGCCUUUUGCCAUCAAAUUUUGCUGUGUUUCUGAAGAAAUUGAAUUGCUGCACCUGUGUGUGAGUAUAUGAAAUUUCAAAUAAUUCUAUUCUCUUUGAAUGCAAAAAAUUGCAAUAUUUCUCUUUGAAUGCAAAAAAUUGUAAUAUUUUUGGAGUUUUACAUAGUCUUACAUCAGCCAUUUAGAAUUUUAAAUUUUGUUCAUAAAUUCGUUUUCAGGGAAAUUAUCCUCAUCCAAAAUCUCAAAUAUUUUAUAUGGUAAAUUUUAUGGAAAUUGUAGUACUUUUUUUCUGAUCCCACAUAUUUUGUCCGAAACAUUCUGCUACUCAAGGGGUUAACAAGGUUUAUAAAAUUAUGCAGAAAUUAUAAUGAUUCAAUUCCUAUUAUUAAAUAUAUCUGUAAAGCAUCCAACAAAAUCAUUGGUUUUGGAAAAAUUUGUGCGCAAAUUAAGCGUUUUAUUAAUGUUAUAUUUGAGUACUGUGCACAAUAUUUCCUGCUGCUGGUACACAUCUUUUAUAGAACGCUCUGUAUGCGGCAUUUAAAAUGGUGACAUUGAAAUUUUACAGGGUAUGUACUACUAUUCUUUUAUUAACUUUGAUAUUUAUAAACAUUUCCAUUUUUACUUUUAUUUUUACCAAUUUUCAUUAUUAAGUAAAUAAUUGUAUUUGUUUCCAAUAUAUUUAUUGGAAUAAAAUAUUGUAAUUAGACUCAUAUCUUUCUGAAUAUAUUAAUUUUUGCUUUUCCAGCACAGCAAAGUUCUUUUUCUAUGUUUGCCAAAAGUUUCAAAAAAUUUAACAUGAUAAAAAGUAUGUGAUUUUUGAGUAUUAAUUAAAAUUGAAAGAAAAUAUUGAUUGGUUUGCAGAAAUUUUAAAGAAGUCACAUCAAUAAUAAAUUAAAUGUGUUGUUAAGAGAAAAGAAAGGAUAAAUUAUAUAAUCAAGAAUAAUCACGAAUCACAUAUUGUCAAUAAUGAUAAACUGAAAGCUGGGCCAAUGCAUAUCAUUCUUUCCCUCCAAGCUAUGAAGUUAUGUCAUGUUUAAUUAUUCGUUUUUUUGGAGCAAAAAUAAUUUAUUUAAUGUGGAAUUAAAUAGAUUUUUGUAAGAAUAACAAUAUAUUCAGGCAUUUCUCUUAUUCUUUGAUAUAAUAUGAAUGUAUAUAUAUAUAUAUAUAUAUAUAUAUAUAUAUCCUUUGAAAAAAUAUAUAUUAUAGAGAGAGAAAGAAAGAGACAAUUUAUUUUCAAUAUAUUAUUUAAUUGCGCGUGCGCGCGCGUGUGUGUGUAUGUGUGUGUGCAUAUGUAUGGUAUACGCGCGUGCACAUAAAAUUAAUAUGUUAUAUUUAAACAUUAGAUAAUCUCGCAAUUUUUUUUUAUUGUAAACUUGCUAAUGUACUUUUAUCCAGUCUUACUACUAACAACUGCCAAUUUGAAUUAUCAGAUAUAUGACUGCCAAUCUGCACGAAAUAUAUCACAGAAAUAAAAGAAAAGAGGGGAAGGGAAGAAUCACACGUGAAAUUAAAUUUUAAUCUUACAAUAAUUUUUACAAUGAUCGAGAAAAUAUUAAUGUUUAGUAUUCUUUUUAAGUUUUAUAAUUUAUUUUAACUCAUUUAUUUUGAAAACGAAACGUAUAUAUAUAUAUAUAUAUAUAUAGAGAGAGAGAGAGAGAGAGGAAAAACAUGUUUUAAUAGAAUUUACGAAUUUUAUUUACGAAUUUUAAUUAACAAUUUUCUUGCUCCAACGAAACGAAUUGUACGAUAAUGUCAUUAACAAAUUAGAAUAAUUUAGAUAUAGCCCAAUGUGGGGGCAAUAGAUAAGCAGCAGUAUAUCCUUACGCGUAUGUGCAUAUAUUUACUAAUGCGUAAUUUAUAAACAAUCACAGCUGCUUGAUCGAACAUAAUGAAUGUACAAAGUGCAUUGUACUAUUAUAAUCAAUUCAAACUGUUAUUUUUUUGGGCUUUUACUUUUGUUAAUGUUAUUAUUAUAUUAAUAUAAUUAUGUAUUGUAAUUAUCGACAUUGAUGUCGUCAUUCAAGUGUAGAAAAAAACUGAAUAUUUUACUUUGCAUAUCUUGCUACUGAAAAAUUACACAUCUAGACUUUGACUAUAAUAAGAAAAUAUUUUCCAAAAUUACAAUUUGAGGUGAAAGUAACAAAAUUUUUUAAAAUUUUGCGUUGAAAUGACGACAUUAUUAUCGAUAUAUUCAAUGAAUAUAUUGAUUACCAAUAUCACAGUUUGUAACAAACUCGGCUACGUUUGCGUCUUUUAUUUUUUUUUUCUUCAUUCGAAUACAGGGUGGAUCGAAAAUCGAAAUAUAUUAACGAUAAUUAAUAAAAAAAUUGUCUUUUGUUGACACGGAUAAUUUGGAAGACCAAAAUUUUUUAACUUAUAAUGUAAAAUUGUAAAAAUCUGUUUUUCUUUGAGUGAGUAAAAAAAUUAUGGAUAUCAAAUGUUCUUCAUAUUAAAAAUGAUGAUAAUAUGAUAGAAAAUAAUUAUUUUUAAUCUUUGAAAAUAAUAAAUAGGAUAUACAAAGAAAAAAAUACAAAGCUUAAUUUAGAUACAUAAUAUGAUUGUAUGAUCAAUAAGAAAAUUUUUACAUAUAUGUAUAUUAGAGAUUUUACUUCGUGUAAAAAUAUCAAAGCUAUUCGUGCAAAAUUUUUUUUAGUUAUUUUAUCAAAAAGUCUUCCUCCAUGCAUGCAACUGCGAUAGAAUUUUUGGACUACCCUGUAUUUUGGAAUGUUUUAUUAAAUUAUAUAUAUAUAUAUAUAUAUAUAUAUAUAUAUAUAUAUAUAUAUAUAUAUAUAUAUAUAAUAACUCGGAGAGAUCCGAUUGUUUGAAUUACAUUAUUUCUACUUAAAUAAGGCAGAGAUUUUAACGAAAAGAUUUUUGAUGUGGCUUCCGAUUCUUCCAUCCUUCUGUACUUAGUAAGUGUGCCGGUGUUUCUUGUAAACAUUGUUACGCGCGAAUGUGUAUCGUAAUAUUCUCUUUGUAACGCCCAUCGAAACGACUCCGUUAACAUAAUAACCGUCAUAUGUCUGGUUUGGAACAAAUCUGUGCACGAUCUGAGGAUCCGAGAAUCCAUAGGUCCAAGCAUCCAAGCAGUUAAACGAAAAUUAUAGGAAUUUAAAAAUUCAUCGAUCUCUGCCCAGUCGAGGAAGAGUUGAGAAUCGUAAUCAAUUAUUCUAAAUUCUGAGACUGUAAGAAUAUAAUAAAAGUCCACGAAUCCAUCGAUUAUCUAAGCGUGCAAUGAUCCAACACUAUGUUUUGUGAUACUUAUAAAAAUUCACGUUAGCAUAGUAAAACUAUGAUUUAGAAGUUAAGGAUCGUGGAUAGAAUAAUCAAAAGAAAUUUAAUUUUUGAGAUAUUAGAAGGAUUGAAAUCUGUCAAAAAUUUGGGUAUCGGAAAAUCAGCUAGUAAGAAAUCAAAAGAGAGAGAAAGAGUAUAUUUAAAGAUCUUCGGAGAUUUAACAAUUUAGGAUUGAAACAUCGAACAAUUUCCACAUUGGUUAGGCUAGAAUUCCAAAGAAUUGAAGAUUCAGACUUGAAGAUAUAUAGAAUCUAAGAAUUCAAGGAUGCACAGAUGCAUAGAUCAAAAUUGUACACAAACGCGAGGAAGAAUCUAAGGAUUCAAGGAUCUUAAAGCAUUUUAGCUACAGCACAGCAUUAUUAUUACGUUAUUGCGUAUGAAAAGUCCAUUUUUACUUUUUAUCGAUCUCGAGGAGUUUGGCGAAUUUUAUAGAUAUAGAUUAUAUUAAUAAGACAAAAUAAAAUCUUGUUAUCUAAAACAAAAAGUUACACGAAAGGUAUGUACAGUUUUCAAAAGGCCGUGCAAUUCAAGCGUCCAUUUUAUUUAUUUAUUUGCAAGAGGUGUAUACGUUGAAGGCUUUUUUUAUAUUUGCAGACUUGAAAAUUCGACGUUUCGUACGCAAAUACGUGAUAUUUCAACAUAGUUUGAAACAAGGAGAAACACGAACAAGAAAGUUGCCAAUAAUGUUCUCCUUAAAAUCGCAAUCAUCAUUUCGAACCGCCUUGCUACGCAUAAUGAAGCGACGAAUUUAUAAAAAAAAGUGUGUGUGUGUGUGUACGUGUGUGCGUGGUGUAUAAUCGCACACAUAUAUAUAUUACACACACAUACACACACACACACACACACACACAUCCAAAAAUGGCAUAGAGGAGUAGAGAAUGUGCGCGCGUGUGUGUAUGAUGCGUGUAUUUGUAUGUAACAUGUGUAAGUAUGUGUGUGUGUGUGUGUGUGUGUGUGUGUGUGUGUGUGUAUGUGUGAAGAAAAAAAAAUAAUAGCGUUUGAGGCUUUCGCCGAGCAACGGCCGUCGCGCCAAUUCAAGUUGAGCCCUUUUUAUAUAUGGAGAUUCAGAAAAAAUUUCUUAAAAGGAAAACGUGAAAAAAAAAGAAAAGAUUAAAAGCGAGGACGCGCGGCUUUUGCGCGCUAUAUAAAAUUAGGAACAAUUGUAUUAUUAUCAUUGCUGCGCGAAUUGUAUAAAGGUUCUUUUUUCGUGAUUUAUUGUUAACCCGUUGAAGGCUCGCGCCGCCUUUCAUUGCAAUAAAGUAGCAUGGUUCUGUGCUCACACCGAUAGUGUUUUGGCACAAAAUGCGGCUAUCUGAUUAUAUCCCAGAAUAGAAUCUUACAAUUAUAUACAUGUGCAUGUAUAUACAUAUACAUAUACAUAUAUAUAUAUAUAUAUAUAUAUAUAUAUAUACACACACACACACACACACACACACACACACACACACACACACACAUAUAUACAUACAUACAUACAUAUAUAUACACAUUUCCUCUCCUUUCUCGAGUUGAAAUAAAAUUCGUAGAAAUCGGAUAGUCGCAUUGGGAACAGCAGCUGCACCGAGAUGUAAAUGCAGACUUUUUAAAAUCAUUCAUAUUCGCAUUGCGCGAUUAGCGCUAAAUGUGGUUCUCCACGUUUCAACUUUAUGUGAUUAUUCACAUUGGAUCCCGCAACUUUUGUAUCGGGCAAUUAGAAUCGUAGAAUUAACGGGCAGUCACACUGAAAUAAAACCUUGUCAACUUAACUAAAUUUUUCAAUUUGAUUAAAUUUCUUUAGUUUAAAUAUUUAUAAUGUAUUUAAGUUAAAUACACAAAAUUUCAGAAUUUCAAGUAUUUAUAUAUUUAACGUAAAUACAUCAUGAAUAUACAUCAUAUUUAAACCAAAGGAAUCAAGAUAAAAAAUUGUAUUUAAAUUAAAAAUGCAAGUACUUGAAGUUAAAGUAUUUUAUGUAUUCAAGUUAAAUAUAUAAAUACUUGAACUGAAGAAACUUAAUUAAUUUGAAAAAUUUAGUCCAAUUAAUAACGUUUUUUUCAGUACGUAUUUAGUGAUUACUUGCGAUUAUGGAUACAGGUUUGCCUGUAAGAUAAAAAAGGGUUGUUAUUCGCACUGCACAUCUAGCGCUAAAUGCGAUCGAUCCUCGAUCGUAUUAAUUGUGAUCUUCGUGUCGCUAAUUAAAGUGGCACAAUAUAGUGGCUUUACGUAUUUAAGUUUCGUGACUUUAGAAGAUCUAUCGAGAUAAUUUUACGAAAGCAUGUACAAUCAUGAAAAAAGUAUCGUCGAAUUCUUAAAGAAGACCCUUUAUCUUUAUUUCCCAGACAGCUAAGAUUUCUUUUUAGAUUUCUAAAAGAUUUCUUAUUAUGUCUUGAGAUGUUUUGCAUUUCUUUUGAAAAGUUUUAAAAAGAUAGGGAUCUAAAAAGUAUUUUAUCUAAUGUGAGAUAUCUGGGAAUGUUUUAAGGAUAUCUUAUAGAAAUCGUAAAGACAACAUUUAUGUGACCAAAAUCUUUCAGAUGUCUUUCAGAUGUCUAUAGACAUCUUUUAGACAUCUUAUAAAUUUUAAACAACUUUUAAAUAACUUCUACAGCCUUAGAGGCUGUCUACAAUAUAUGAAGUAAGCGUGAAGGCUGGAGUUGGAGUAAGAAAUAAAUUUAUUUGCUGAUGUUCUUACUCCAGCUUCUUACAGCGAAAAUACAUACACCUACUCUUACUUCUCUCAGCCAAGUUUACUCUGCACAUUGUAGACCCUGCCUUAGUCAUAACUAUGAAGCCGUUACAAAUUGACUUCAACAUCUACAUCUAAUUAAAAAUAUAUAAAAAGACAGUUUUAUUGAAAAAUAUUAUUUUUACAAUAAUUUUAAUUUGUUUUUUUUCUGGCUUUUGUUACUAUCUUUUUUUUAAUAAAAAAGGAUUAUAUUGAAUGCUUCAUAUUUAUAGUCAAUGCUAUAAAAAAAUUUUGAUACUUUUAAGUAGAUAUUUUUCAAAUAUCUACAAAAUCUCAAUGUUUUCUUGAUUGUUACUUUUCAUUGUAAAAAUACGGAGAAAUAAGUUUGAUGAAACUUUACACAUGUCUGGUAUUAGUUAAUUUAGCGAAUAGUAAAUAUAUAGAUUAAUUUUUGAUAUUGAGCUUUUUUAAUUUUAAAAGUUUAAUGAAGGCUAUUUUCGCGGAUUUUUUAAAAUCUAUGUGACUUUUCAUACAUGUAUAGAUUUAUUGUACAUGUCCCUCAUUUUUAUUACGAUAUAACUAAAAAAUUAUCAUUUUUUACGUGUCUAUAAAAAAAUUUUGAUAAAAAUUUAAUACGCUGAGUGAAGAACUAAUGAUAUUUUUAUUCCUUAACAAUCACUAAAUCAAGUUGUUUGUCAAAAUCGUAUUUGACCUGGAAUAUUACUAUAGGUGAAUUUUUAUCUAAAUGCUAAUUCAAAUUUAAUACAGUUUUUGUUAUUAAAAAUUUGAUAACUUAAAAUAAUGUUUAAUAAAAUUUUGUUUACAUUAGUAUUAGUUUAGUUAUUUUAACAUUUCGUAAUCUAUAAAAAAACCUACAGACAUAAAAAUAACUAAACAAACUUCUUGUGAAUAAAUUAUGUGAAUAAAUUUUCACCCAGAAAAGUGUUAAUGUAAGAAUAAUAUAAAUAGAAUUCCAGAAUUAAAUCACAAGUCGGUUUUCUCGCAUAAAAAUUGAUCUAACAGCAAAAAAAUAUAAAUUUUUCAAGAAAUACUAUUUAAAAAUAAAUUCUAGGAACUUUUUGUUUUUGAUUAUCUAUAACUGAGAUAUAUGCACGUCACCGUUUUUGUAAAAUGUUAAAAUAUUAAUAAUUUUGAAAUUAAUGAACAUAUCUAUACCAAAUUUUCCAAAGAUAUUUCAAUAUGUAUAAGUUUACAAAAAUCUAUGAAAAUCCAUCGUAUAGAUUAAAACAAAUUACCGAAAAUAUAGUCUUCUUUAUUAGACUUUCAAGAUCUGAAAAUAUCUAUUAAUGCCUGGAUUAUUUUUUUUACUUCAGAAUAUUAUUUGAGCAAGCAGAUAAGAAAUUGACAUCAUGUCAAUAAGUCUUUUUAAAUUAUUUAUUGAAAAAUUUUAUCUUCGAAAUUUUAAAUAUAAUAAAGAGUGGUAGGUCGGUUUUUAUAUUAUUCACUGACAUGAAAUAUUUCUCAUCUAAUUUUAUAAUUUUUGAUUUUGCCUCUUAAAUCUUCUAUCUUCCAGAUUAUGAUUUUAUAUGCUUUUAUAAGAGUACAGGUCACUAUGGAGGAAUUUCCGUAGAUUCCCUUGUCUUUCUGACGUCAUCGAAUUAUAUAUAUAGCCGAAUCGAUUAUGCCGCUUUAUAAAGUUCAGGAUCAAUUGACCACAUUUAGCGCCAAACGCAGCGUUAACCUUAGAAUACUAAUCAUACUUUUAAGACAUUAAUACUAAUCAUACGUUAAAUUGACGUUUGUUGAGAUUUUUCCUAAAAAAAAAAAAAUUAUCAAGAUGAGAGAAAUAAAUUUUUAUUAGAAAUAAACCAUGCUAUUUUAAUGAGUAAGAAUAACAAAGAAAAACUUAAUGCUAUUUUUUUAUUACGUAUUAUUAGUAUUCUAGGAUUAAAUAAAAGUGUGAAUGCAAGGACUUCUCCUCGACACUAUCUGUGGAAAUAAAGUAUACUUUGCAUAAACGAGAUAAUUGAAAAUAACUUGAAAAGUAAAAAAAAGUAAAACUUGUGUAAAGCGAUUACUUUUUCAUAUUUUUUUAUGACCUUGAACGGGUUACAGAUUUUAACAUAUGAGUGAGAGUAGAGAACAAAGACACGCGUGUGAAUAUAAAAUUAAUGCCUUGAUUUGUAAAUAAAACUUCAUUACUUCCAACAAA